AAUGAACGCUGGCGGCAGGCCUAAAACAUGCAAGUCGAACGCUCUAGCAAUGGAGAGUGGCGCACGGGUGAGUAACACGUGGGAAUAUGCCUUUUGGUACGGAACAACGUCUGGAAACGGGCGCUAAUACCGUAUGGUCCCUCCGGGGUAAAGAUUUAUCGCCAAAAGAUUAGCCCGCGUCUGAUUAGCUAGUUGGUGAGGUAAUGGCUCACCAAGGCGACGAUCAGUAGCUGGUCUGAGAGGACGAUCAGCCACACUGGGACUGAGACACGGCCCAGACUCCUACGGGAGGCAGCAGUUAGGAAUAUUGGGCAAUGGGCGCAAGCCUGAUCCAGCCAUGCCGCGUGAGUGAUGAAGGCCUUCGGGUUGUAAAGCUCUUUAGUCCACGAAUAUAAUGACUGUAGUGGAAGAAUAAGCCCCGGCUAACUUCGUGCCAGCAGCCGCCGUAACAC
rnacentral:rRNA from 1 species